GAGUAAGAGCGAGAGGGAGAGAGAGAGAGACAGAGGAAAAGAGAGAGAGAGAGAGCGAGAGGGGAGAGGAGGAGCUGUCUCUGAACAGCUGGUGGGGGUAAAGGCGUUCGGCGGAAACCUCUUGUACCACUCUGUGCUCAGCAGAUCUGGGAGCUUGUGGUCGUGCUGAGCCGUGAGCCAUUUGAUGCAUGGACUCGAGUCUGCAGGGUGCCUCUCGUCCUGUGUGCCCGUUGCCGUGGCGCCCAGCGUGGUGUGCAUAAUCCGGGUGACAGAAGGAGCUCCGGGACGUCAACCCGACGCCCUGCGAGACGAGGUGACAACACGACGGAGGACAGCUGCCUGCCGCAACCGGUGGCCGACCGGGAACCACACGUGUGUGUCUGCGUGUGUUUGUCAGAGAGAGUGUGUCUGUGUGUGUAUGUCUAUCUGUGUGUGUCUAUUGGUGCAUGUGUCUAUCUGAAAUGUGUGUGUGUCUAUUUCUGUGCGUGCAUGUGCCUGUGUGUCUCCUAAAUGUGUGUUGUGUGUGUGUGUGUGUGUGUCUGCGUGUGUUUUUUCUGUGUGUGUGACUGUGUGUCUGUGUGUGUGUGUGUGUGUUUAUGCACAAAUAGCUAUCUCUCCCACACUACUAUUUGUUCAAUAAAUCCCGGAUAUCCUUGUUCUUUAUGCAGACCAGCUCCUCUUCUGGGAGAGAACUCUCCUCUAAUUGUUCAUCCCCAAUGAAAUGAGCAAAUGCUAACUUCUUCACUAAACCCUCCCUAUUAUCUAUUCUGAGCCGCUGUGAUCAAUGCACGGCUCGAUAUUGUAUCCAAUUAACAAUGAAUGGCUUUUAGUACCAUCAUCCACUUCCCCCCCCCCUCCCCAAACCUGCCAUAGCAAUCUGUCUAGACCGCUACACACACCUCACCGGACCCACAAACAAGACCGCUACACAAACCUCAGCGGACUCACAAACAAGACUGCUUCAUACUCCUCACCGGAACCACAAACAAGACCACGAUUUGGUGUCACCUAUCAGAAGAUUGUCUGUUGCCACACCACCCAGCAGCACCUCCACCCUGUUCUUGCAAUUAAGAUCCUACAGGUGUAGUAGUCAUUAAUAUUUGGGAUUGAGAUGCAAAGAGCUGUAAAAGUAGGAUUUAAUCACUAACCUCCGCGGGUUAAGGGCUGAAUCCAUGGUUAUGCCAAACCCACAAGCUCUGAGAUUAAAAUAUGAUGAUGUUCUGUGUUUCUAUUUACAAGCAGCUAGUUUAUUGGGCUAUUCAAAUAAUCAAAUUAAUAAACUUUCGGGCAAAUAA